GAUGAACGCUGGCGGCGUGCCUAAUACAUGCAAGUCGAGCGAAUGGAUUAAGAGCUUGCUCUUAUGAAGUUAGCGGCGGACGGGUGAGUAACACGUGGGUAACCUGCCCAUAAGACUGGGAUAACUCCGGGAAACCGGGGCUAAUACCGGAUAACAUUUUGAACCGCAUGGUUCGAAAUUGAAAGGCGGCUUCGGCUGUCACUUAUGGAUGGACCCGCGUCGCAUUAGCUAGUUGGUGAGGUAACGGCUCACCAAGGCAACGAUGCGUAGCCGACCAGAGAGGGUGAUCUGCCACACUGGGACUGAGACACGGCCCAGACUCCUACGGGAGGCAGCAGUAGGGGAUCUUCCGCAAUGGACGAAAGUCUGACGGAGCAACGCCGCGUGAGUGAUGAAGGCUUUCGGGUCGUAAAACUCUGUUGUUAGGGAAGAACAAGUGCUAGUUGAAUAAGCUGGCACCUUGACGGUACCUAACCAGAAAGCCACGGCUAACUACGUGCCAGCCGCCGCAGUAA
rnacentral:rRNA from 1 species